UCCAUAUGGAAGCUCCCGGUCCCCUGUGGAAGCUCCUGGUCCCUAUGGAAGCUCUCAGUCCCAUAUGGAAGCUCCUGGUCCCUAUGGAAGCUCCUGGUCCCCUAUGAAAGCUUUUGGUCCAUAUGGAAGCUCCCGGUCCCCUGUGGAAGCUCCUGGUCCCUAUGGAAGCUCUCAGUCCCAUAUGGAAGCUCCUGGUCCCUAUGGAAGCUCCAGGUCCCCUAUGAAAGCUUUUGGUCUAUAUGGAAGGUUCUGGUCCCCUAUGGAAGGUCCUGGUCCCUAUGGAAGCUCCUGGUCCUCUAUGAAAGCUUUUGGUCCCUAUGGAAGGUCCUGGUCCCCUAUGGAAGCUCUCAGUCCCAUAUGGAAGCUCCAGGUCCCCUAUGAAAGCUUUUGGUCCAUGUGGAAGGUCCCGGUUCCUAUGGAAGCUCCAGGUCCCUAUGGAAGGUCCUGGUCCCUAUGGAAGCUCUCAGUCCCAUAUGGAAGCUCUCAGUCCCAUAUGGAAGCUCCUGGUCCCUAUGGAAGCUCCAGGUCCCCCUAUGAAAGCUUUCGGUCCAUAUGGAAGGUCCCGGUUCCUAUGGAAGCUCCUGGUCCCUAUGGAAGCUCUCAGUCCCAUAUGGAAGCUCCUGGUCCCUAUGGAAGCUCCUGGUCCCCUAUGAAAGCUUUUGGUCCAUAUGGAAGCUCCCGGUCCCCUGUGGAAGGUCCUGGUCCCUACGGAAGCUCUCAGUCCCAUAUGGAAGCUCCAGGUCCCUAUGGAAGCUCCAGGUCCCCUAUGAAAGCUUUUGGUCCAUGUGGAAGCUCCU